rnacentral:lncRNA from 1 species
UUUAUGAUUCCCAUUCUCAUCCACCAUUUACCUUAGACUUCCCUACUAAGUUAAAGCACAAGAAUAUUCUUCACCAUCACAUCGAAAUCAUACGAAAUGCACAUACAAAACUUGCUAAAAAUCUAUAUCCAUGAUAUAGGAAAUUAUAAUACUCAUUUCUAAUUCGGGUUUCAAGAGUGAAUUGAUCUUACCUUCCAUUGGAUGAUUCUCCCAUCUUUUAGCUUAGCCUUCACGAAAAUCACCCUCCUAUUUCUUCUUCUAUCAGCCUUGCUGCUCUCUUAACCUCUCUCCUUCUCUUCCUCUCUGCCACUCCCUCCUACUGUCAGUAGCCUCCCUCUCUCUUUGGGUUUCUUCUUUUUUUUUAGAUGUAUUUCCUAUUUAUAGCAAUCCAGAUUAAAUCAAGGUCAUCGAAUUGGGAAAAGAAAUCUUUACUGUUAAAUCAUUUAUUUUUCAUUAGAAUGGUGUCAUUUUAAGGUUUAUUAACAUGACGUCAUUGUUU